rnacentral:rRNA from 1 species
UAGGGAAUCUUCGGCAAUGGGGGGAACCCUGACCGAGCAACGCCGCGUGAGUGAAGAAGGUUCUCGGAUCGUAAAACUCUGUUGUUAGAGAAGAACAGCGCAUAGAGUAACUGUUAUGCGUGUGACGGUAUCUAACCAGAAAGCCACGGCUAACUACGUGCCAGCAGCCGCGGUAAUACGUAGGUGGCAAGCGUUGUCCGGAUUUAUUGGGCGUAAAGCGAGCGCAGGCGGUCAAUUAAGUCUGAUGUGAAAGCCCCCGGCUCAACCGGGGAGGGUCAUUGGAAACUGGUUGACUUGAGUGCAGAAGAGGAGAGUGGAAUUCCAUGUGUAGCGGUGAAAUGCGUAGAUAUAUGGAGGAACACCAGUGGCGAAGGCGACUCUCUGGUCUGUAACUGACGCUGAGGUUCGAAAGCGUGGGGAGCGAACAGG